rnacentral:rRNA from 1 species
UACGUAGGGGGCAAGCGUUGUCCGGAUUCAUUGGGCGUAAAGAGCGUGUAGGCGGCCAGGUAGGUCGGUUGUGAAAACUGGAGGCUCAACCUUCAGAGGUCGACCGAAACCAUCUGGCUAGAGUCCGGGAGAGGAGAGUGGAAUUCCUGGUGUAGCGGUGAAAUGCGCAGAUAUCAGGAGGAACACCGAUAGCGAAGGCAGCUCGCUGGGACGGUACUGACGCUGAGGUGCGAAAGCGUGGGGAGCGAACAGG